AUGGAGGUUCCGGAAGAUCGUAGAGUUCCUUUGGUCGCAUACAAUCUGAAAGGAGGAGCCGGUGCAUGGUGGCAUCACAUUCAAGAGGAGCGCGGGCUGAGAGGAGAACCUCGUGUUAGAACUUGGCAACAAAUGAAAGGCCUCUUGAAAGGGAGAUUUUUACCCGCUGGUUAUGACCACAUCCUAUUUAUCCAAUUUCAAAAUUGUGCUCAAGGAAAUAGGAUUGUUUCAGAUUACACGGAGGAGUUUCUAAGGCUACAAGUGAGGUGCAACCUUGUUGAAACUGAAGAGCAACAAGUUGCAAGGUACAUCAAUGGUCUCAAUGAUGCUAUUCAAGAUCGAUUGAUGAUGCAACAAAUCUGGUCCGUUGAUCAAGCACAAGCUCUAGCCUUAAAGGCCGAGAGGUUUGUGAGGAUGAGAAAGACAACUAAGGCUCCAUAUCCUCAUACCGAAGGCUCAUCUAGGAGCCAACCUAAUAGAGUGGAAGAAAAGACCACUCCACCAAAGACAAAACAGCCCAUCCCGAAGCAAGCUAGAGGCAAGGGUAAGGCAAAUGAAGGCCCAAAGUGCUAUAAAUGUGGUAAAGAGGGACACAUAUCCAGCGGUUGCCCACUAAGGAAAUUUGUUAACACGACUAUCCAUGAUGGUGAAAGCGAUGAGGAAGAAUACGAAUCUGAAGAUGUAGACGAACAAGAGGUUUGUCAAGAAGAAGGUGAAGAGGUGGUAUGUGUGAUCUAG
rnacentral:rRNA from 1 species